UACGAGGGGGGCAAGUGUUGUUCGGAAUCACUGGGCGUAAAGGGAGCGUAGGCGGGCUUCUAAGUUAGAUGUUUAAUCCCGGGGCCCAACCCCGGACAGGCACCUAAAACUGGAAGUCUUGAAUAGUGGAGAGGACGGCGGAAUUGGGGGUGUAGCGGUGGAAUGCGUAGAGAUCCCCAAGAACACCAGUUGCGAAGGCGGCCGUCUGGACACAUAUUGACGCUGAGGCUCGAAAGCAUGGGGAGCAAACAGG
rnacentral:rRNA from 1 species